GCGGUCUGUGGGUUAUGUUCAUGGGGCGUUUGGGAUUGUCUGUCUGAGAAGACAGGCCAGGCCUUGAGGUGGCAUACACCACUUCUGCCCCAGUUCUGCGGCUUGAACUCAGGCCUGGGACCACGCCCACCCGGGUGGGAGGCAGGACAGUGGACUCCAGUUGUGUUCCCAGGAAGAAGAGGAAAGAAGCUGCUGCUGUUACAGUCGAAGGAAGGCUAAAGAAACACGACAACUAAACAUGAUGUAUUGUGGAUGGGAUUUGGGAACAGAAGGAGGACAUCAGGCAAAAGCCUAAGGAAAACUAAAUAAAGCAUGGACUUUGGUUAAUGAGCAAGUACACAAGCAGGGGGAGCUGCAAA